UCAAAGAUUAAGCCAUGCAUGUCUCAGUACAAGCCAAAUUAAGGUGAAACCGCGAAAGGCUCAUUAAAUCAGUUAUGGUUCCUUAGAUCGUACCCACAAUUACUUGGAUAACUGUGGUAAUUCUAGAGCUAAUACAUGCAAACAGAGCUCCGACCGGAGACGGAAGGAGUGCUUUUAUUAGAUCAAAACCAAUCGGUGGCGGGUUCGCUCGUUAUCGUACAACUUGGUGACUCUGAAUAACUUUACGCUGAUCGCACGGUCAUCGCACCGGCGACGCAUCUUUCAAAUGUCUGCCUUAUCAACUGUCGAUGGUAGGUUCUGCGCCUACCAUGGUUGUAACGGGUAACGGGGAAUCAGGGUUCGAUUCCGGAGAGGGAGCCUGAGAAACGGCUACCACAUCCAAGGAAGGCAGCAGGCGCGCAAAUUACCCACUCCCGGCACGGGGAGGUAGUGACGAAAAAUAACGAUACGGGACUCAUCCGAGGCCCCGUAAUCRGAAUGAGUACACUCUAAACCCUUUAACGAGGAUCAAUUGGAGGGCAAGUCUGGUGCCAGCAGCCGCGG
rnacentral:rRNA from 1 species